rnacentral:rRNA from 1 species
CCCUUAGAUGUUCUGGGCUGCACGCGCGCUACACUGAUGCACUCAACGAGUUUACGACCUUGCCCGAUAGGGUUGGGUAAUCUUUUUAAAAUGCAUCGUGAUGGGGAUAGAUUAUUGCAAUUAUUAAUCUUCAACGAGGAAUUCCUAGUAAGCGCGAGUCAUCAGCUCGUGCUGAUUACGCCCCUGCCCUUUGUACACACCGCCCGUCGCUCCUACCGAUUGAGUGCUCAGGUGAAUAAUUCGGACUGCAGCAAUGUUUGGAUCCCGAACGUUGCAGCGGAAAGUUUAGUGAACCUUAUCACUUAGAGGAAGGAGAAGUCGUAACA